GGCCACACACAUCUGGCUGUCAAAAGGAACACGUUUUGGAAUAAUCAUUUAAUGACAAAUUACUCUAUUAAUAUGUUCUGGGUGGAAGUGCACUGGCCACUCACGGGCCCAAUCUCAGUACCAAUUGGAACAGAAGUUUUGGACCUGUCCCAUUGCUGACCGGGGACUAUUUGACCCUCCCUGAGCAACCUAGUGUCCCCUCCCCACUCCCAGAAGUUCACCAUAUAGGCGCGAGACUUACUGUGGCCACCCAAUCAGUUGGAGCCCCACGGCAGCUCAGAACCCAAGCUCAGUCAAUCCACCAGCCUCAGCCUCCUCAGCAGCAGAGAUUAUAGGAAUGCUCCACCGCUCCCAAUUCAGACUUCACAAUUCAAAAAGGGCUUGAAAAUGAUCUGCUUCCUUCCAGCUGUGCCUGCUCAAUUCACGCAUCUUUCAGAGAGCGCCAAUGUCACAGCAGUGAACAGGCAGAGUUCAAGGGAGAUGAAGCUGUGCCAAUCUUACCUUCACCUACUGAAUACAAAUGCAAGCCCUUAGGAGGGCAUUAAUAAUGCAAAAAUAAAGCAAGGAAGAUGGGUUUAUGCGGACCUCCAAACAUCAGCAAAGGCAGUUGGGGCACACCACAUUGAGUGUGUCUAGGGACACUGACCAUCUGCAUGGAUUCCAGGUCCC